AGAUUUCUAUUUGCAGCAUUCAUUUCCAUUAAAAGAAUAUUGUACUCUGCCUUGACCAUGUUCUCUCUUCACUCCUACCUACAUCUUAGGCAUGUUUGGUUUGCAAAAUUAUUUUAUGUUUUUAUUUUGUAUUAUAAACAGAUUGUCAUUUUCAAGUUCUUAAAAAGUAUGUUUAUUUGACUUUUAUUUUUUACUUUUAAGAAAGAAAACAAUCAAACUGAAUUUGUUUCGUAAUUUUGACUAUCAUUUUCCAAAGGAUCAAGUUCAAUAGUGUUAGGCGUAUGAGGUAUGUUAGAAAAAUUAAAGUUCCACAUAGAAUAAAGAUAACGUCUAAAAUGAUUUAUAAAGAUGUGGCACUACUUAUCUUACAUGUCAAUUGUAAGAAUUAAUUAGAUUUAGAAUGUUGUAUAGAUGUCUAUUUGCCAGGUUGUCCACCUAAACCGUUAUCUGAGAAAAAAUUGACGACUUUGGCGGACAUGUUUUUGUUAGGCUGGGUGUUGGGGUGUAGUGAAUAUGCUUGGAAGUGGAGGAGGAUGUUGUUGGCUUGGGAGGAAGAACACGUGAGGGAGUGUACGAAUCUGUUAUCUUCUAUUGUUUUGUAGGAAGAUUUGGACUUUGGAGAAUAGGUGGGUUUGACAAUUACAUCUGUCAAGCUCCUUCAUUGUAAGCAGUGCUUAUUGUGGGUCAUUUUGUUACCGUGAAUUGGGGAGUUAUUGUGGAUCGUUUUGAUUAUUUUUGUUGUUUAGGUGGUUUCUUAAAGUAGGCAUGUUUAACUUUGAAGAUUAUUUGGCUUAGUUGUGCAUAAGUCAUUUGGAAAGAAAGAAAUAAGCGUGUUUUUCAGCAUGAGGAGGAUCAUUUGAAUUAUUUUGUGAAAAAGUUAAACUUCAGUCAUAUUGAUGGUUGAAAGUUAAAUAUGCUACUUUCGUAUUUUUGUUACCAUUACUACCGGUGACUUAACCCCCUUCAGUGUUUAAUAGUUGUUUCAUAGUUGUUUUCCUUUGUUGCUUUGUUAGUGUUUUGUUCUGCAAUAUAACAUUGUAAAAAAAUUAAGUCUUCCUCUGACACUUCUUGUGCGGGAAAGAUUUGUUUGGUUAAUAU
rnacentral:lncRNA from 1 species